rnacentral:rRNA from 1 species
UACGAGGGGGCGAGCGUUGUUCGGAAUUAUUGGGCGUAAAGGGUGCGUAGGCGGGUCUUUAAGUCAGGGGUGAAAUCCUGGAGCUCAACUCCAGAACUGCCUUUGAUACUGAGGAUCUUGAGUUCGGGAGAGGUGAGUGGAACUGCGAGUGUAGAGGUGAAAUUCGUAGAUAUUCGCAAGAACACCAGUGGCGAAGGCGGCUCACUGGCCCGAUACUGACGCUGAUGCACGAAAGCGUGGGGAGCAAACAGG